CGGACGGGUGAGUAACGCGUGAGGAACCUGCCUCGGAGUGGGGAAUAACAUACCGAAAGGUGUGCUAAUACCGCAUAAUGCAGUUGGGUCGCAUGACUCUGACUACCAAAGAUUUAUCGCUCUGAGAUGGCCUCGCGUCUGAUUAGCUAGUUGGCGGGGUAACGGCCCACCAAGGCGACGAUCAGUAGCCGGACUGAGAGGUUGACCGGCCACAUUGGGACUGAGACACGGCCCAGACUCCUACGGGAGGCAGCAGUGGGGAAUAUUGGGCAAUGGGCGCAAGCCUGACCCAGCAACGCCGCGUGAAGGAAGAAGGCUUUCGGGUUGUAAACUUCUUUUGUCAGGGACGAAACAAAUGACGGUACCUGACGAAUAAGCCACGGCUAACUACGUGCCAGCAGCCGCGGUAAUACGUAGGUGGCAAGCGUUAUCCGGAUUUACUGGGUGUAAAGGGCGUGUAGGCGGGACUGCAAGUCAGGUGUGAAAACCAGGGGCUCAACCUCUGGCCUGCAUUUGAAACUGUAGUUCUUGAGUGCUGGAGAGGCAAUCGGAAUUCCGUGUGUAGCGGUGAAAUGCGUAG
rnacentral:rRNA from 1 species